CACGUAGGGCGCAAGCGUUGUCCGGAAUUAUUGGGCGUAAAGAGCUCGUAGGCGGUCUGUUGCGUCCGCUGUGAAAACUCGGGGCUUAACCCCGAGCCUGCAGUGGAUACGGGCAGACUAGAGGUAGGUAGGGGAGAAUGGAAUUCCCGGUGUAGCGGUGAAAUGCGCAGAUAUCGGGAGGAACACCGGUGGCGAAGGCGGAUCUCUGGGCCAUUACUGACGCUGAGGAGCGAAAGCGUGGGGAGCGAACGAGG
rnacentral:rRNA from 1 species